rnacentral:misc_RNA from 1 species
GAUGAAGAACGCAGCGAAAUGCGAUAAGUAAUGUGAAUUGCAGAAUUCAGUGAAUCAUCGAAUCUUUGAACGCACCUUGCGCCCUUUGGCCAUUCCGAAGGGCAUGCCUGUUUGAGUAUCAUGAACACCUCAACUCUCAUGGCUCGCCAUGAUGAGCUUGGACUUUGGGGUCUUGCUGGCCUGUGGUCGGCUCCUCUCAAAUGGAUCAGCUUGCCAGUGUUUGGUGGCAUCACAGGUGUGAUAACUAUCUGCGCUUGUGGUUUUCCAUCAGAUAACCUUCAGUGAUGGAGGUUCGCUGGAGCUCAUAAACGUCUCCCCUAAGCGGGGACAGCCCUUUGAAUGUUUGAUCUCAAAUCAGGUAGGACUACCCGCUGAACUUAAGCAUAUCAAUAAGCGGAGGA